rnacentral:rRNA from 1 species
ACGGAAGGCAGCAGUAGGGAAUCUUCGGCAAUGGGGGCAACCCUGACCUAGCAAAGCCGCGUGAGUGAAGAAGGUUUUCGGAUCGUAAAGCUCUUUUGUAAGAGAAGAACGUGUGUGAGAGUGGACAGUUCACACAGUGACGGUAACUUACCAGACAGGUACGGCUAACUACGUGCCAGCAGCAGCGGUAAUACGUCGAUCCCGAUCGUUGUCCGGAUUUAUUGGGCGUAAAGCGAGCGCAGGCGGUUUAAUAAGUCUGAAGUUAAAGGCAGUGGCUUAACCAUUGUUCGCUUUGGAAACUGUUAGGCUUGAGUGCAGAAGGGGAGAGUGGAAUUCCAUGUGUAGCGGUGAAAUGCGUAGAUAUAUGGAGGAACACCGGUGGCGAAAGCGGCUCUCUGGUCUGUAACUGACGCUGAGGCUCGAAAGCGUGGGGAGCAAACAGGAUUAGAUACCCUGGUA